UCCAAUCCUCUGAGGUACUGGAGAACCUCACCCUUUAGUCCUAUAGCACACUGUUAGUAUUGACAGCGCAUACCCAAGGGGGCCUCAGUUGUCACUAGCCUAGAAUGUGAGUGACUCACUUGGUACCCACACUGAUUUCUUUUUGGCAGAUCCUCUAGACCCUUCCUUCCCAGUGGAGUUUGUCAGACAUGGGGACAUCAUACGACUAGAACACAAAGAAACUACUCGGAACCUGCACAGUCACUAUCAUGAGGCUCCCCUGACCCGGAAGCACUAUCAGGUCACUGGCUAUGGCAUAAAUGGGACAGGGGACUCAAAUGACUUCUGGAGGAUUGAAGUUGU
rnacentral:lncRNA from 1 species